GCGAUCGAAUGUUGUAUAGUUGGAAACGGAUGCGCCAUCUACAAAAGUAUAUAAUGAUUGUAGCAAAUAGAAUAACACCAACAAGACCUACAACUGACACUGCAAUAAUUAAAACUAUAUUUUUACAGCUUUCGGGAGUCGGAUUGUAAUUGAUUAGAAACUCUGAGUUGUCACACUUGUAAUUCGUUGCAUUUUUGAUUUCAACCUUUGUUGAUUUCAUCCAGUCUCUGAACCAC
rnacentral:lncRNA from 1 species